CCUACGGGUGGCAGCAGUCGAGAAUCAUUCACAAUGGGGGAAACCCUGAUGGUGCGACGCCGCGUGGGGGAAUGAAGGUCUUCGGAUUGUAAACCCCUGUCAUGUGGGAGCAAAUUAAAAAGAUAGUACCACAAGAGGAAGAGACGGCUAACUCUGUGCCAGCAGGCGCGGUAAUACAGAGGUCUCAAGCGUUGUUCGGAAUCACUGGGCGUAAAGCGUGCGUAGGCUGUUUCGUAAGUCGUGUGUGAAAGGCGAGGGCUCAACCCGCGGACGGCACAUGAUACUGCGAGACUAGAGUAAUGGAGGGGGAACCAGAAUUCUCGGUGUAGCAGUGAAAUGCGUAGAUAUCGAGAGGAACACUCGUGGCGAAGGCGGGUUCCUGGACAUUAACUGACGCUGAGGCACGAAAGCCAGGGGAGCGAAAGGGAUUAGAUACCCCAGUAGUC
rnacentral:rRNA from 1 species